UGGGGAAUCUUGGUCAAUGGGCGAAAGCCUGAACCUGCGACGCCGCGUGAGUGAUGAAGGUCGUAAGAUCGUAAAACUCUUUUCAGGGAUAUUAAAGCCUGUCUGUCAACAACAGGCAGGUCUGACUCUCCCUGGAAGAAGCCCCAGCCAACUACGUGCCAGCAACUGCGGUAAUACGUAGGGGGCGAGCGUUAUUCGGAAUUACUGGGUGUAAAGGGUAUGUAGGCGGCCCUUCAAGUCGGGUGUCAAAGUCCAGUGCUCAACGCUGGGUGUGCGCGCGAUACUGACGGGCUAGAG
rnacentral:rRNA from 1 species